rnacentral:tRNA from 1 species
ACCUGAGUGGCUCAGUGGUUGAGCAUCUGCCUUCGGCUCAGGUCAUGAUUCCAGGGUCCUGGGAUUGAUUCCUGCCUCAGGUU